rnacentral:rRNA from 1 species
CCUUCCAGGAAAAGCCACUAAGCUUCAGCUUAAGAAAAACCGUACCGCAAACCGACACAGGUAGGCAGGGUGAGAAUCCCAAGGCGCUUGAGAGAACUCGGGUGAAGGAACUAGGCAAAAUGGCACCGUAACUUCGGGAGAAGGUGCGCCCUUUGGUGUGGUCACGUGCGUGACUGAGCAUCGAAGGGUCGCAGUAACCUGGCCGCUGCGACUGUUUAUCAAAAACACAGCACUCUGCAAACACGAAAGUGGACGUAUAGGGUGUGACGCCUGCCCGGUGCUGGAAGGUUAAUUGAUGGGGUCAGCCGCAAGGCGAAGCUCUUGAUCGAAGCCCCAGUAAACGGCGGCCGUAACCAUAACGGUCCUAAGGUAGCGAAAUUCCUUGUCGGGUAAGUUCCGACCUGCACGAAUGGCGUAACGACAGCGGCGCUGUCUCCACCCGAGACUCAGUGAAAUUGAAAUCGCUGUGAAGAUGCAGCGUUCCCGCGGCAAGACGGAAAGACCCCGUGAACCUUUACUAUAGCUUUACACUGAACGUUGAGUUCUUCUGUGUAGGAUAGGUGGGAGGCUAUGAAACCAGGACGCUAGUUCUGGUGGAGCCAUCCUUGAAAUACCACCCUGAAGUGCUUGACGUUCUAACCUAGGCCCGUAAUCCGGGUCAGGGACCGUGUAUGGUGGGUAGUUUGACUGGGGCGGUCUCCUCCCAAAGAGUAACGGAGGAGCACGAAGGUACGCUCAGCGCGGUCGGACAUCGCGCACUGUGUGCAAAGGCAUAAGCGUGCUUGACUGCGAGAUCGACGGAUCAAGCAGGUACGAAAGUAGAUCUUAGUGAUCCGGUGGUUCUGUAUGGAAGGGCCAUCGCUCGACGGAUAAAAGGUACUCCGGGGAUAACAGGCUGAUACCGCCCAAGAGUUCAUAUCGACGGCGGUGUUUGGCACCUCGAUGUCGGCUCAUCACAUCCUGGGGCUGUAGCCGGUCCCAAGGGUAUGGCUGUUCGCCAUUUAAAGUGGUACGCGAGCUGGGUUCAGAACGUCGUGAGACAGUUCGGUCCCUAUCUGUCGUGGGCGUUGGAGAUUUGAGGGGGGCUGCUCCUAGUACGAGAGGACCGGAGUGGACGUUCCGCUGGUGUUCGGGUUGUCAUGCCCAUGGCAUUGCCCGGUAGCUACGAACGGAAGUGAUAACCGCUGAAAGCAUCUAAGCGGGAAGCACGCCCCAAGAUGAGAUCUCCCGAGAGCCUGACUCUCCUAAAGGCACCAUCAAGACUAGGUGGUUGAUAGGUCAGGUGUGGAAGCGCAGCAAUGCGUUGAGCUAACUGAUACUAAUGAGCCGUGAGGCUUGACCG